GCAGAUUCCAAAAGAGAGAUCAUGCUGAAAUAAGCUGAAUUCAUUUGUGAAAAGCAAUUAAGACCUGUGCCGCUUUGUUUUUCUCGAGGGAGGACUUAUGGUCAAGAUCGUCCUAAGAUGAAAUGAUCUAGACCCAGAUGCUCAAUGAAGAUCAUUGCAGAACCGAACAUACUUAAGAUAGUAUGUCUUAUAUCACAAAAAAACUGGACAUUCUUCAGAACUAUAAAGGUUUCCUUUUAAAAUAUCGAUGGAAACUUAUUGCAGACUUCUUCACGCACAAAGGCAAACAAUCCAUAAUUUUGAUAGUAACUUACGUCUUUUUGAAAAGGUUUAUCUACAAUAUUAUCUACAAAAACAAACUGAAUAUAUUAUUCUAUAAUACAAAUGCAAAUAAAUGACUACUGAAAUCAAAUACUAAAA
rnacentral:sRNA from 1 species